rnacentral:rRNA from 1 species
AUUGAACGCUAGCGGGAUGCUUAACACAUGCAAGUCGAACGGAGUGGCGGACGGGUGAGUAAUAUAUCGGAACGUGCCCAGUAGCGGGGGAUAACUACUCGAAAGAGUAGCUAAUACCGCAUACCAUCGGAGCGGCCCAUAUCGGAUUAGCUAGUUGGUGGGGUAAAGGCUCACCAAGCCAACGAUCCGUAGCUGGUUUGAGAGGAAGACCAGCCACACUGGGACGGAGACACGGCCCAGACUCCUACGGGAGGCAGCAGUGGGGAAUUUUGGACAAUGGGGGAAACCCUGAUCCAGCCAUCCCGCGUGUAUGAUGAAGGCCUUCGGGUUGUAAAGUACUUUUAGCAGAGAAGCGCUAUCUGCAGAAUAAGCACCGGCUAACUACGUGCCAGCAGCCGCGGUAAUUC